AUUGAACGCUGGCGGCAGGCUUAACACAUGCAAGUCGAGCGGAGUGAUGGUGCUUGCACUAUCACUUAGCGGCGGACGGGUGAGUAAUGCUUAGGAAUCUGCCUAUUAGUGGGGGACAACAUCUCGAAAGGGAUGCUAAUACCGCAUACGUCCUACGGGAGAAAGCAGGGGAUCACUUGUGACCUUGCGCUAAUAGAUGAGCCUAAGUCGGAUUAGCUAGUUGGUGGGGUAAAGGCCUACCAAGGCGACGAUCUGUAGCGGGUCUGAGAGGAUGAUCCGCCACACUGGAACUGAGACACGGCCAGACUCCUACGGGAGGCAGCAGUGGGGAAUAUUGGACAGUGGGGGGAACCCUGAUCCAGCCACGCCGCGUGUGUGAAGAAGGCCUUAUGGUUGUAAAGCACUUUAAGCGAGGAGGAGGCUCUUUUGGUUAAUACCCAAGAUGAGUGGACGUUACUCGCAGAAUAAGCACCGGCUAACUCUGUGCCAGCCGCCGCAGUAA
rnacentral:rRNA from 1 species